UACGGAGGGUGCAAGCGUUAUCCGGAUUCACUGGGUUUAAAGGGUGCGUAGGCGGGCAGGUAAGUCAGUGGUGAAAUCCUUGAGCUUAACUCGAGAACUGCCAUUGAUACUGCAAGUCUUGAGUGCACUUGAGGUGGGCGGAAUACAUCAUGUAGUGGUGAAAUACUUAGAUAUGAUGUAGAACACCGAUUGCGAAGGCAGCUCACUAAAUUGCAACUGACGCUGAGGCACGAAAGCGUGGGGAUCAAACAGG
rnacentral:rRNA from 1 species